GAUGAAGAACGCAGUGAAAUGCGAUAAGUAAUGUGAAUUGCAGAAUUCAGUGAAUCAUCGAAUCUUUGAACGCACAUUGCGCCCGCCAGUAUUCUGGCGGGCAUGCCUGUUCGAGCGUCAUUUCAACCAUCAAGCCCCCGGCUUGUGUUGGGGACCUGCGGCUGCCGCAGGCCCUGAAAAGCAGUGGCGGGCUCGCUGUCACACCGAGCGUAGUAGCAUACAUCUCGCUCUGGGCGUGCUGCGGGUUCCGGCCGUUAAACCACCUUCAUAACCCAAGGUUGACCUCGGAUCAGGUAGGAAGACCCGCUGAACUUAAGCAUAUCAAUAAGCCGAGGA
rnacentral:misc_RNA from 1 species